UUUUGUAUGUUCUGUCAUUGCAGUCGAUCACGGAGGAUAUGACAAGUUUGAUCAAUCUAGCAGGGCCGCUGCUGGCCAAAUGGGUGCCCUAAGCAGAAUUGUAUUAUUGCAUUUUUUAUAAUUAUAUGUGUUAAUAUUUAGAUAUUUUUUUAUGUAUAUGUAUAAUUAUAAUUUUAGUACUAAUAUAGAACGAAAGUUUUAUAUUUAUUUAUAACAAAUGAUAGUUUAUUUUUUGAUGUGUAGGCCUACUCAGUUCGAAAAAUUAACAUCAAUACACUAAAUACAUUGACCAUAUUUUCUUCUUUACUGUAGGAAAUAAUGUUUCUAAGAGACACCUGGGGCAUCAUUUAUAAGCAAUCAUUUCUUAAAUGUGCAUGUGAUUCAGACAAACGAAAGUGCAUAUAGGACUAUAAAUUAGGACUAUAAAUAGGCCUAAAUUUUCACUUACAGAUAAUGGAAUUAAAUUCAUCAUUACAUACGUUUUAUUAGCCAUCCAUUCAACAUCCACUGAUCGCUAUUGUAAGAGGAAAUUUUUUCCAUAUCAUCUGAUUUCAAGUUGCAUCAAGUCAGCCAUCGUUCAUAUAGGCUAAACGCAGCAUAUUUUGGACAUACUUAUUAUCACAUUCACAACAUUCAAAUCUUCAUCAGUUUGGUUAGAAGAAGCCAGCUGCACGCAGUCAGAAAGAUCCUUUGGCAGUGUGCUAAAACAUUUUUAAAAGAGCCAUAAUCUGUUGGUUUUUCUACCCGCGAAAGACCGUUAAACUAAAGAGAGAAAAAAAAAUCAUGACAUAAGACUGACAUCACACACAACGUAGCAAUGCAUUAUCCUCACGAACAAAUAUUACAUGUGACGUUUACAUACGUAUACGGCAGUGUACCAUUACGACAUUCUUCACGAACAAAUAUUACGUCUGACGUUUGUAUACGUAUACCCCAACCUUACCUUACUAAGACUUGCUCGCUCCCUGCUCGAAUGCUGUUUUUUGGGGGGUUUUUUUCCUCUGCAGUGCACAAAUAUAAUGCACUGCUAACAUGCAACAGACAGGCAUUGCUGGACAUCGCCAAUUCAGCCAACCAUUUAUACCACCGGAACUACUACUCGCUCCCGCAACCACCUCCCCACCCCCAUGAAGGCCUCGAAGAAAAAUGCACCUAAAGUUGGUUUGCCAUCCGUCAUAAAACGACAUCAGAAGAAGAAGAAGAAGGCCUCGAAGAAGCACCUAGCUCGAGCGAGGAAGCUGACCCGAGGAAAAUGCUCCGGUUAUAACAGCUCAUGAGUACCACCUGACUCCUGUUCAAGCUCGUUAAGUGGAGUACAAAGAAACCCAGAGAACUACAGUCCAGGGAGAGAGAGGCUGAGGCUUGCCGUGUUCAGAGACAUGGCCAUCCUCUGGUCCCAGCGCUGUCGUCACUCUAUAGCAGGGGUUCCCAAAGUCUUUCCUGGAGCCUCCCCAACACUGCACAUUUUGUAUGUCUCCUUUAUCAAUCACACCUGAUUCAACUCAUCAGCUCAUUAGUAGCAACUCCAAGACCUGAGAUGGCUGUGUCAGACAAAGGAGACAUGCAAUGUGCAGUGUUCUAUAGUGUUCAAUUUUGCAUUGCUUAGUGUUGAGUUAAAUCUUUGAUUUGUUCUUCAGCUAAUUUGUUUCACACAAUUUGAGCUGCCAAAGUGCCCCAGUUACCUCUGGUGUUCCUCAGCUGGUUAGUGUUGUAAGCUGUCGAGUGGUGCAGAGUGCUUCAGUGUUUAUUUUAUUUUUAUUUUUUUACUCAUUUAAGAGGGAAUAUUUCUUGUAAGGAAGUGGAUGCCUUUUCUUUUGAAUAAUGCAGUUUUAUCAUGUGUUUAAGUUGAAGAGAGAGUCAGGGAAGGAUCUCUGUAAUUUCUUUUCUAAGUUAAGUUAUUCCUUAAACUUAUAGAAUGCAUACUUUUAUUGUUUUGGCCUUUUCUCCUCCAUAUUCUGUUCAAUAAAAUAACUUUAAACCGGAGUUUAAAGUUGUGGUGAAAUAUUGUUUGAUGUUUUUGUGGUGUUUGCAGUAGAGCCACUGAAAUCAUGAUGUACUUAUGUAAAUAGUGUUAGUGACAGCAAGAGUACUAUUACCUGGAAAUAUUUUUGACAUUGGUCCCCCAAGCAUAAGCCAAUAGUGUUACCACCAUAGAAAUACUGUACUGGGUGAAGUCAGUGAAAGUGGGACACUUUUUGGUAUUACAGUUUUCAGCCAACAAACACUUUCUCACUCAUGAAAUAUAGACCUAAAAGAAAACACUAUGCUACAGUGGGGGAAAAAAUCCAUAAAAAACAGAAAAAGUACUUGCAGCUCAUUACCCGGGCUUUGUACUGUAAUUUAAAAAUAAAUAAAUAAAUAAAAAGCAAAAUACAAUUGUCUGUUAAUUGUCUGCCCUUAGUAAAAAACAGGACCCUCAUACCAUUCCAAACCCAUAAGUCAUUCAUAUUCAGAACACAGUUAAUGAAAGACUACAAAAAGAAAGGACAUUGUCAGUUUUGCCAACGAAUUUAAGGAUUAAAAAUUAAAGAUUCUGUCUAAGAUCUGCUGAUACUUCAUCAUUAAUGUUUAAUGAUGAAAUUUUUCAUAAUACAAAUUUUCAUAAAAUUAAUGCCACUUCUGAUUCUUGUCAAAAAAGUCUGUAAAUAUCCCUUAAUGCCACAUUUGUGCUCUUCUGUUCUUUUUGUUUCUGUCACUUUUCAAAAAUUGCUAGAAUUUGCAAAAAAAAAAUAAUAAUUAAGAAAUAGCUAGAUUUGUUGCCAAGUUAUUUUUGCUAAAUCAAGCAACAAAAUUGCUAGGUUGGCAAAACUGGACAAUAUGGUUGCAAAUACUUUGUUGAUCUGCAUUGACACUUUUUUUUUUUACUUAGAUAAAGAAUGCAGAAACAAUUGAUGAAGCAAGAGAGGCGAUUAUUCAGGCUUCUGAGACACUCACAGUUCUGGGGACAAUGCGUUACAUUUCCACCUUGGGUGAGAGGGACAGCCUCGUAUCCCACUCUAUCCAACAGUAUGUUGAAGGACGUGUACAGACUGCAUUUCAACACUUCAUGGAAGGGCUGAACACACUCAAACUGGCUGAGGCCAUCUGAGCACAUCCAGUACAAUUCAAAGGAUUGUUUUUGGAAAACAGACAGCAGCUAAAAGAGGAAAGCAGGGUGCUG